rnacentral:rRNA from 1 species
GACGGAGGAUGCAAGCGUUAUCCGGAAUGAUUGGGCGUAAAGCGUCCGCAGGUGGCAGUUCAAGUCUGCUGUCAAAGACCGGGUCUUAACUUCGGAAAGGCAGUGGAAACUGAACAGCUAGAGUAUGGUAGGGGCAGAGGGAAUUCCUGGUGUAGCGGUGAAAUGCGUAGAGAUCAGGAAGAACAUCGGUGGCGAAGGCGCUCUGCUGGACCAUAACUGACACUCAGGGACGAAAGCUAGGGGAGCGAAUGGG